CAUGCCCUAUGGGUAAAAUUAAAGUGCAUAAGAGAGACUGGGUUGUGAUAGUGAAUUUAGAGUUGGUCCUAAAUGUUGGUUGAAAUAUAUGUGAGAGGAGAAAACAGGGCAUUUAAGAUGAGACAAAUGAUGUGAGUUAAAGCACAGAAGCAGGAACAAGUACUGUAAACAUGGAGAGAGCAAUGAAAAGAUUGGUCUUUUCAGAAAAGAGGUUGAAUGCUCCCAAUUGGGUGAAAAUAAGUUAGGUUGAAAUAUUAAUAACUUAACAUGCAAAUAUUUCAAGUUGGCAGGAGAAUUUAUGCUUUCUGUCACAGAGAGUAGAAGAUUAUACAGAGGCGUGAUAAUUGGUUUUGUAGAGGAAAGAAAUGGUGGACGCUAGGAUGAACUGGAGACUCAAGAAGAAUAUUGAUGUAGUCCAAGUGUGAGAAAGCUUCUAAUAGCACAGAUGACAAACAGGAGUUCCAGAAGCGCUGACGCAUCACAGCAGAAGUCCAGUGGUUUGGCAGGAGACUUCACUUCAAAAUGUUGAGACUGGCCAUUUUCAAAAUUUCUUGGCUGGAUUCUUGAUGGCAUUAGGCUGGGGCUUUGAAGGUAUUGGAGGUGGCUCAGACAAUAAAGAAUCUGCCUGCAAUGCUGAAGACCUGGCUUCGAUCCCUGGAUUGGGAAGAUCGCCUGGAGAAGGGAAUGGCUACCCACUCCAGUAUUCUGGCCUGGAGAAGUCCAUGGACAGAGGAGCCUGGAAGGCUAUAGUCCAUGGGGUUGCAGAGUCACAUGUAUAUCACAUGCAUCAUCACAUACAUAUCACACAUAUCAUAUAUAUAACAUACAUACCACAUGUAUCACAUGUACCACCACAAACAUAUCACAUGUUAAAGGAUAUAUAUCACAUGUAUUUUCACUAUGUGGUAUGAAACAUGCCAUGUAAAACGUAUGACACCUCCACAAUCGAAAGCAAGAGUGGGUGUUAACACUGAGAGUAAUAUCUCCUUGAAAAAAUAUUUAAUCAUUGCCAGUGGAGUUCUAAUUAGGUUUUAUCCUAGUUCAUACUCCAUUUUACAGAAGGCACACCAAGACCAGGAGCGAUGAAGAGACUUGCUCCAGGUCAUACAAGCGAGUGGUUAGAAACCUGGAGCAGAACUGCAUCUAAUUUUCUUUCUUUUUCCUCAAGCUGACUUAGUUGCUCGUGACUUUACAUGUAUUCAGUGCAAAGGUUUGUUCCCUUUUGGCCAGAAAUGAGCAUAAAUAAAGUAAUUAAUCUAGGAUUUCUUUAAUAAUUAUAUUAACAUAUUAUACUGAGAACUUUCAUUUGGAAGGGACGUGUUGGAGAACUUGUUGCCUUUUGAUGAAAGUCAAUUACUUCUUUAUACUGCACAUGUAUUCAUUCAUUUGUAUUCUGUCAAUUAGCUUAUGAUAUAUGUAUUAACUUUUAAUCUAUAACAAUGUGAGGUAAUGACAUGUGUCAUUGCUCUAGUAUCACUUUUGACUGUCUUAGAUCUAUUCCCGGAGAGAGAGAAAAGAACCAUAGACUGUUGAAGACAUCCAGAUUACCUAAUUCAGUGGUUCGCAAACCAUAGUAUGUACAUUAGAACCAUUUGGGAACUUGAAAAUGCCUAUGUCAGUGCCCACUCAGAUCAGUGGCGUUGGAAUCUCUGCGCAUUGACACCAAUGCCCACUGCAGACUAAUCAUAUUAUAAUCUCUGUGGGUGAGGCAUCCAGGAUUGAGGGCCAUUUGAGCAGAAGUUGGCAAAUAUUUUAUGUAAAGGACUGGAUUGUAAAUAUUUUUGGCUUUGGUAGUAUCUAUAAUAUAUUUUGGAGAAGGAAAUGGCAACCCACUCCAGUGUUCUUGCCUAGAGAAUCCCAGGGACAGAGGAGCCUGGUGGGCUUCCGUCUAUGGGGUCGCACAGAGUUGGACACGACUAACGUGACUUAGCAGCAGCAGCAUAAUAUAUUUGGCCUUAUGAACUCUGUCACAGCUACUUGACUGUGCCAUUUUAGCACGCAAGUAGCCACAGAUAAACAAAUGAACAUGACUGUGUUCAAAUAAAACUUUAUUUAUGGACACAAAUUUAAAGUCAUACCUUCCUGACCCCUGAUCUCAAAUAAUUUCCCAGUUUUUGAAAAAAGAAUUCAGCUCUAUUGAGGUGUAAGUGACGUUUAAAAUGGUAAGAUAUUUAAAGUGUACAUUGUGGUGAUGUGGCACACAUGUACGCUGUGAAAGGAUUCCCCCAUCUAUGUAGUUAAUUAGCAUAACUGUCACCUCACUUAUUUACCUUUUUAUGAGGACAUUUAGGUUCUACUCUGUCAGCAAAUUUUAAUUAUACAAUACCGUGUAAUCAACCCUAGUCACCGUGUUGCAUGUUAUGUCCUCAGAGCUUAUUCAUUUUUUAGCUGAAAGUUUAUACUGUUUGACCAAUCUCUCUCUAUAUCCUCCACCCGCUAGCUCCUGGUGACUGUUUUUGAAUUCUCUGUUUCUAUGAGUUUGACUUUUUUUGUUUCAAGAUUCCACAUAUAAGUGUACCAUGCAGUAUUUGUCUUUCUAGUGCCCUUAAGUUACCUACAGUUACAUAGUUGCAAAUGGCAGGAUUUCCUUUUUUUCAUGGCAGAAUAAUAUUCCACUCCAUGUGUGUGUAUCUGUCUGUCUGUUUCAUAUCUUCUUCUUUAUUCGCUCCUCCAUUGAUGCACACUCAAGUUGUUCCAUCUUGGCUGUUGUGGAUAUUGCUUCAGUGGACAUGGGAGUGCAGAUAUAUCUUUGAUAUCUGUUCAUUUCCUUUGGAAAUCUCUACUUUUUGACUUACUCUUCCAAUUUUUAAAUGUUAGAAACUAACUGCAAAAAGUCUAAAAUACUGUGUAAGUCAAACUGAACAUGUGUUUGGUCUGGACCCAGUUUACCAUAUCUCUGUAGAAUCUGACCCGCAGAAGAAUCAGGGGAGAGAUGUGUGUGAAACCUGGGAAAGGAACCACAUUUUCAAAGAGACUGUGUGUGAGGGAGAUGCCAUCUGUAAACGAGGGAUGGAGAGUUGAGCUUGGGAGUAGAGUGGUGAUGAGUCGCUUAAGGAGUCAAGGGAGAUCAGGCCUUCCUCUAUUAACAUACCUAUUACAUGAAGGAAUAGCUUUUAUUUGGAUAAUGCUAAAGUGUUUUAUAAUAUUAUGGCUUUUCUCAUGUCCAUAUCUUUAUAGUUAUUGUCAGGAAACAAACCUACAAGAACCAUAUAUAGAUGAUGAAAAUUAUUAAAGACCAGGUGGCUUAUUGUUUGGGACAUGGGAGGGAGGGAAAGACAAGAAUGUGGGAGCUGGUUGGGAGUAGAGAAUAGGCCUUGGAGGUGAAGAUACUGAUCUGUAAAUGGAGUGAAGUAGACUUAGAUGAGUAUGGGGAGAAAAUACCUCAUGAGUGAUAUUCAAUACUUAGAACAGAAAGGGAGAACUGGGGCUAGACAAAAGUGGAGAAUAGCCAGGAAUCAAGUCCUGGUGGGCCGGGAGGUGACUUGGCAGUUUUGGUCAAAGUGAGAUACUUGAACUGGGUGGCCAAGAUCAGAGCCAGAACUAUUGAAUACAGAGCCAGGGAUCUGGAGGCAGUUUGGAAGGAUCUGCAAGGGGGACUAUGCCAGGAAUAUAUACCCCCUGGUAUGGGCGUUUUCAAAUGGGAAAACUGUUGAGUUCAUAAUACAUAUUAUGUAACAUAGUAAUUCUUAAUUGAAUAUCCGUUAAGUUAAUGUUGAAUUAGGAGUUAAACAAAUUUAAAAUCUGGAAUUUUGUUUUAAAAAAUGAAAACAUCCAAACAUACCAUCUUUCCAACAAAUGUUUUUUAAACAGAUCUUUCAGCCAAGUUGCCUAAGAACAACACUUGACUAGAACUGCACGUCUUCAAACUGUCUACUGCAGAAUGGAAACAGGAACCUCUGGGAAUAUCUAUGAGUCAUAAAAUGUUAUAAGGAACUUUCCAAAGACCUUUUUUUCUUUUUUUGCUAAAAUGGAGAGUUCUAAUCUCAAAUUGGCAGGCUUUCCUGGCGGCAAUGUACAUUGUUUACUUUGAUUGCUUCUCAGCUGUGCUGCAUGACCUUAGUUCAUCAACUUUUUGAUAUAUUGUAGCAGAAGAGUUGCAUAAUAUGACAAGAUUGUAAUUCCUUCUUUUUUUCUACUCUCUUAAAACAGAUAAAAAUCAGGAUCCAUAUCUAUGCUUCCUCUGUGAGGAAGUUUAAUUCAACUGUCUUUGAAGAAAGUAGUUCACAUUACUCCCAUAAUUUUGAAAGCUUAUAGUACUGGUAAUUGGAGACAUAUGCUUUCAUUUCAUUAUAAAAAGGAUGUAAAAAGCACUUCAUAAUGUUUCCAGAAAGGAGUAUUUCUGUGCGCGUGUGUGCAUGUGUGUACUGAGGUUAUUUGCUGCUAAGUCACUUCAGUUGUG